UUCCCGAAUUCCACCCUCCGGCCCAGCCAUGGCCUCAGUUUCCCCAAACAGGAAAGGGAAGGAGGGUGGGCACCCCGGUCUAACGGUGCCUCUCAGCCUCUGAGACCGAGAACCUUCCUUCUGCAGCUCCCGGACUGACUGGCUCUGCCCUGCCCCAUGGACGCCUCCUCUAGCCCGUGGAAUCCAACCCCGGCUCCUGUCAGCAGCCCUCCCCUGCUGCUCCCCAUCCCUGCCAUCGUCUUCAUCGCUGUGGGCAUCUAUUUGUUGCUGCUGGGUCUAGUCCUGCUGACUAGGCACUGCCUGCUGGUGAGGGGUCUGGUUGGGGAUAAAGGGUGGGCUCUGGGGAAGAGGAAUCCCGGUAACCUGUCCCUUCAUCUGCAGGCUCUUACCCUGAGACACUUGACAUUUAGCCCUUGCAUCUAUCCGUUUUCUGAUACCAGGGGGUCCCUCCUCUCCUGUCCCCAGCCACACCUUUUCCUGCCCCCUCGGGAAAGCUGCCUUGGCUGUCACUACCUGCUGCCUGUUCCACAUCCUGAACCCUGUGAUCUAGGCCCAGGGCUGCUGCGCGGACGGUAGCUCCCCCUGC
rnacentral:sRNA from 1 species